UGUGUUUUUUUCGUUUUUGGAAAGGAAACAACUUUGAGUUACUUUUUUAUAGUAUUCAGAUCAGUUUGCGUUGAUAAAUGUAUCAUUUGUCUUGAGUGUAGCUUUAUAUAAUAUCAAAUUUUAUUUAUUACAGUUUGUCUUGUUUUUUUUGUUUUCUUGUGUUAAUUUUUUUUUUAUCCUGCCCUGCCCAUAAGUUUUGAAUUUCCCUUAUUUAUACCGCAGAGAGAAGGCAAACACCAAGUGUCAACCGGUGAAAGGCGAAAUAAUUCCCCGAAAAUUACCACGACGCAUCUGAA